GACCUGGUAGUGAAUGGUUCACACCCACCCUCUUUAAACAAUGGACAAAUAUGUUGGUGGGAGUACUCGGUUCGAUUCCGGGUUGGGUCA